rnacentral:rRNA from 1 species
GAUGAACGCUGGCGGCGUGCCUAAUAUAUGCAAGUCGAGCGAACAGAUGAGAAGCUUGCUUCUCUGAUGUUAGCGGCGGACGGGUGAGUAACACGUGGGUAACCUACCUAUAAGACUGGGAUAACUCCGGGAAACCGGGGCUAAUACCGGAUAAUAUUUUGAACCGCAUGGUUCAAUAUUGAAAGACGGUUUCGGCUGUCACUUAUAGAUGGACCCGCGCCCUAUUAGCUAGUUGGUAAGGUAACGGCUUACCAAGGCGACGAAACGUAGCCGACCUGAGAGGAUGAUCGGCCACACUGGAACUGAGACACGGUCCAGACUCCUACGGGAGGCAGCAGUAGGGAAUCUUCCGCAAUGGGCGAAAGCCUGACGGAGCAACGCCGCGUGAGUGAUGAAGGUCUUCGGAUCGUAAAACUCUGUUGUUAGGGAAGAACAAAUUUGUUAGUAACUGAACAAGUCUUGACGGUACCUAACCAGAAAGCCACGGCUAACUACGUGCCAGCCGCCGCGGUAA